rnacentral:lncRNA from 1 species
GCUAGAAACUAGGUUGAUUCAAAGUCUUUUGUGGACACUUCCUUUAAGAACAGUAUUGAUAGACUGCCUUUAUGCAAAUCCCUUUGGAAGAAAGGAUGGAGAGGAAGAAGCCGGAAACAGAUCAGAGGCAGGAAAUACCAAAUUGCAUGUUUAUAAACGCUGUGAAGGAAUAUGACAAGAGGGGAUAAUGCUAGACUGGCGGCCAUGGAAACUGAAGUCUUCUGUUUGUUCACAGGACAGCUCAUAGCCCUGAAAGUCCCAGUUCAAGCUUCCACAAUCAUCCUACACAAGAGCACUGCUUCUCACAGGACUGCCUCAGCCUGGCAGGAUUCAGUCUCCUGCUCUGAGGGAAAAACAGGAAGUCAAGGAUCAAGACCGCGUGCUCAACUGAGAUCAGAAAGGAGGACAUACAGUGACUUGGCCAAAUCACUGGAGAUUCACACAGCAGAGCUCAGACGAGUGCUAUCAGCACAGCUGAGGAAGACAAGAGUUAGGGUGCAAGGAUCCUGAAAGAGAAACAUUGGUUGUGUUUUUAUUCCUUGGGUAUAAGAAUCCUGAAACAGAAAGGCAUCUGAACCUUGGAGGCAUGGGGUUCAUCUCAUCCUCAUCCAGCCUUUCACCAGAAACGUGAGGAGACUCAUACCACUUGAGGUAGUGUGGAUGUGUGGCACAGUUUUGGAGAGGGCUAUUCCCCUACCUUUACAUGGAAUCCAGUAACUCUCUGAAAACAUAGCAAUGGCAAAAGUCCUUUUCGAGACUGCAAGGAAAACAAACAACUACCAAGAGAAGUCCAAGCAUCAGGGAAAGAAUGAAGUGGUGUGGAGACCGUAGCCAAUAGCUGCUUUAUGAGCACAUUUGUGGCUACCCUUGGGGACCCAAGAAAUAACCGGAAAGAGUCAAACUGUUCUUCGAAUAGUUUUUGGAUUGCCAACUGAGCUUUCUUUGAAAGCAAAGCUGUGUCAAUACAAGACCACCAGGCACGUGGAGUUUAUACAGGUGACCAUGAACUAUUUGUUGGAGUGCCAGAUUAUUUAAGGGCCUUUGCAUGUUUCAAGUCCUCUUCUUAAAGUAAGAAUACUCUCCACAUUUAUAAUAGCAACAAAAACACCAAUGUCAGCACAAAAUGCAAAAACGGAGGCACUUCUAUGUCAUAAUGAUACAUCAGAGUUCUGCUCAACUCUUUUUUAGAAAAAGAAGCUCAGACUUACACACAUCCACUUUCUUAAGUAAAUAAUUGUUCAAUGAAAGUUACCCGGGGAGGAUUGCUGUCUCCAGCUCCCAAGCACUGCUCAUCUGCUAACGGGGUGGACUCUGUGACUGUUACAGAAAUUGCUCUUAAAUGCAUAAAACACAGAAGAGAAUUUUUGGAAAAUCCCUUAUUAUUCAUUAAAGCAUUUUAGGGCCUCAUUAAUCCAGAUGGGUUAAUCGGUUGUUGAUUUGCCAGGUUGUUAAGCAUCCAUUGUCAGAUGCUGAUGGGGUGUGAGAAAAUAUAAUUCCGAUCUACCAAAGAGUCACCUGAAUGAGGCUAGCACUUCAUCAGGGAAGGCUGUAUCUUCCUCAGGG